UUGACUCCUUUUACUAUCAAGUUUUUAAUAUUUAAAUCAAUUUCUUUGAUCAUUUGAUUAAAUAUUAUAAAUCAGCGAAGACCACUCAACUCUAGGAGAACCACUCAACCCUAGGAGACUAAUAUAAUUUUAACCUUACAAUUUUUCAUCCAAAUAAAAUUUGAUAGCAAAAAGGGUCAAAUACUCUUGAUACUAUUAAGUUCUCUAUCAUUAGAUCUACCUUUUCAUCAUUUCCACCCGUUAUGUUACUAUUCAACCAACCAUCAACUCAACCCUACAGGAUUACUAUCAUUUUAACCGCAUAUUCUUUUAUUUAACGGUUGAAAAUUCGAUAGUAUCAUGCGCUUAAUACUUAAUUUAUAUUGAUAGUAUAGUAACAUAAUUCUAUAUAUAUAAUUGUAGCAGCUGUAAUUUUAACUGUAUAU
rnacentral:lncRNA from 1 species